CGCAUGUAGCAAUACACGAGUGGCGCACGGGUGAGUAACGCGUGGAUAUCUGCCUUUUGGUUCGGAAUAACCCCGGGAAACUGGGGCUAAUACCGGAUGGUUCCUUCGGGAUAAAGAUUUAUCGCCAAAAGAUGAGUCCGCGUACGAUUAGCUAGUUGGUGAGGUAAUGGCUCACCAAGGCGACGAUCGUUAGCUGGUCUGAGAGGACGAUCAGCCACACUGGGACUGAGACACGGCCCAGACUCCUACGGGAGGCAGCAGUGGGGAAUAUUGGACAAUGGGGGCAACCCUGAUCCAGCCAUGCCGCGUGAGUGAUGAAGGCCUUCGGGUUGUAAAGCUCUUUUGGCGGGGACGAUGAUGACGGUACCCGCAGAAUAAGCCCGGGCUAACUUCGUGCCAGCAGCCGCGGUAAGACGAAGGGGGCUAGCGUUGGUCGGAAUUACUGGGCGUUAAAGCC
rnacentral:rRNA from 1 species